rnacentral:misc_RNA from 1 species
UAGAGCCGUAUACGAGACCCGUACGUACGGGUCAAUGAGAGGGGCGAAAACUAUUACAGUUUUCCCUCUACUCUAU